AACGUGAUACAGGAUUUUUGUUUUGGUUGAUAUUUGAUCAUUUUAAACUUUUCCUCUGCUGACUAAAUUUAUACUGCCAAAAGGAUGUGGAGAUAUGAAUAUAGGCUUACAGUGCUACACUUCUGGUGCCACUCACUAUAAUUGAAACUUCACACCAGUCUGAGCUAGAAGUGGUUCUUCAAGUUCAUUUGAGUUGACUAAAUCAGACUAGAGUUUUCCGCUAGUUCAGCUUAAGCUUUGCUUAUAUGUGCUCUAGGGUGUAGCAUGUCUGCAGGUGUAAUUAUAGUUACUACAGCCAAUUGAUAUUAAUGUCUCCCAUUCUUCACUACCUUUUCCAGUCCCCAUAGUUGUUGCCUAGUGCUGCACUCAUAAUGUGGCAGAAAUUGUUUUCUGGGUUACAUUGUAGCAGUUAUUUGGUGCUAUUGAGAUGAUUUGUGUUUGAUAUAUUGCAAAAGUGUACAACACUGCUGCAUUGAAAAGCAUUCUGAUGGAGAUUACUUUCUUAUCAGAUAGUAUUGCGUGCUUUGUAAUACAAAUAAUUAUUUCGGAAAUAUCAAUGUGAGAUCAUACUAGUAGUGAUAGAUUUUAUACAUUCAACUUCAAAUUCUUCAUGAAAUCUCAAAAUUCCAUCUUCGUCAUUACAGGAAGGAGAGCUUUAGAUUACUAAGCAAUAACAGUUAAUAAUACUUUAUUCCCUUGCUUUUGGUGGCUUGUUUUCUGUUGUUUUGAGUUUGGAGGUUUUCUUUGAGGCUGUGGUUAGUUUCUGAGUUUUGUGGACUGCUGGUCCACAUUGAUUGUACCCUUUUAUAUAUAUCUGCAUGUUUCCUAUAAAAAAUAAUAAUAAAUUUACUUGUUUGUUUCCCACAUAAAAUAUGAAAGGAUCCCUUGUGAGAUUAGUAGAAAAAAUUGGCAUUCUUCUUCUUCUUCUUCUUCUACUAUUGAUGGUGGAUUGAAGAAUAGUGAGAAGUUUUGUGCUUUUGAAAUUCAUACCCCGCCUUCCUUUUCUAAAUGUAGUUGCUAGAGGUUUCUUCUUGAUGGGAUCAUCAUCAAUUUAAUUAAGUUUUUGCUAGUUUCAGAUAUCAACACCGGGCACAACGUAUAUAGUACGACUUUUGCUACUGUAUUCACAUUGGCGUGAGAAGAGAAGUUGGCAAUCAUGCAAAAGUACUGAACAAAACACUGCCUGAAAGUACAAGGAUGAACGCAGUUCCCACCAAGGACAGAGGUGGAAUUAACCCUAAACCGAAAACAUCAUCGUCUUCGUCGUUAAAGUCGGAUAGCUUUAGGUCUCUGUUGUCUGAGGAAGCAAAUUCUUUCUCAUCAAAACCAACAAACGGCCCUUUAGUGUCUCUCUCAGAUAACAAAAUGAGGCAAACUACUGACACACAGAUGUCUUCUGGCUUAGGAACUGAUGCCGAGCAAGGUUUAGAAAGAGCUGGCAAUCGUUCAACUCUGUUGAAAGAAUCGAUUGGCCACACUGAAGUUGAAGUCACAGCCGGUGCUUUGUUGGGUUUCUUAGUAAGCUUGGCUAUGUACACCAUAAUGUGAUAUCAAAUGCGCUCAUACUUGUGGCUCAAAUUUUGUAUCCUAAAUUUAUUGUUGUUGAUGUAGGCUACUAGGCUCUUAGGCUUGAAAUAGUUAUAGCUUAAGAGAUGAGAUCUCCUUAUAGAA